rnacentral:sRNA from 1 species
UACUUUUUAGUAGCCCCGUCACGGUCGCCGUAAGGCGAGGGAGUCAUGACAGACUUAUAUUUAAUAUAAACGUGGUAAAGCCGUACCUGAGCACGUCAGAUGUCAUGU